AAAAAAAGCUUAGCAAAGUGCUGUGGUUCAAGAAGGAGCAAACUCCUAGCACCUACCACCCUUUCAUUCCAAUUCAGAACUUCUUAGUUUUAUUUUUUGUAGAAAUGGAGGCGGGGUCUUGCCGCUGGUCUUGAGCUCCUUGCCUAGGCCUUCCUGCCUUGGCCUCCCAAAGCACUGGGAUUACAGGCAUGAGCCACAGUGCCUGGCCAUCUAGACAGAACUUAAUAAUGAAAGUUUAAUAAACAGUUCAAGAGUUUUUAUUUAAAUGUAAUCUCAGCAAGAUACUGCACAUGCAAUACUGAGACCAUUUUAUAUUCCUCAUAGUACAGAGUAUAUAUUCUACAAUAUGCAUGGUAUAAUAAAAAUAUUUGGCUGGGUACAGUGGCUCAAACCUGUAAUCCUAGAACUUUGGGAGGCUCAGGCGGGUGGAUCACCUGAGGCCAGGACUUUUUGAACAACUUGGCUAAUAAAGCGGGACUUACCUCUGCAAAAAUAACAAUAAAAUAAAA